ACUCGCUUGCUUGCGCUGGGCUUCAGGGCGCCCGGGUGAGUUUUUUUCUCUCCCUCUCGUUUUUUUUUUUUUCCCAGGCUCUCGCGGGUUUCCCCUGCCAGGGAAUCCACUCGCUGUAGUUUUCUAGGGCUCUGGUCCCAGUCCUUUCUGAAGCGCGCUUGCAGGCUGUCUUCCUCAGUCGCCCUCUCCCUGGGUGCUGUUUUGCUGGGCAGCAUCCCAUGCUAGGCUCGGCAGACAUUCUGGCGGUUGGGUUCGGCCCUUACAGCGCUAACACCUGCAGAGUCGAGGCUCCUGCCAAAAGGCAGAAAGCAAAGGAGGAAAAAAUUCAUUGUCAUAAUAGCGAAAAUGAUAAACCUCAGCUGUUUAAGAGAAGAAUGUCUGAGUAGCUGUUGAUUAUCUCCCAUAAUCACAAAACAACUUUUUUUUAAAAAGAAUUUGCACUGUCUGUUAAAACGCGGUCAUUGUUUUGCUUUCAAAUCGAACUUCACGACAGUUAGCAACUUCAAGAACGCUUCCAAAUGGAUAAAUCUUUCCAGAAGAUUUCUUGCUUCAAAACAGCUGCAUUUUUGGAAGAAAGUCCACAACUGACAACUAAGCAAAACCCUCCUGGUGGAUAGCAUAAAUCUGCUUUGUUGAAGCUGCUCAUUUGUCUGAUCUAUGAGUCCAGAAGAUGCAAACUCCCUUCCCAGCUUAUGCAAAAAUACUUCCAGUAAAAACAAGCCCUUUGGCCCUUUUCUUUUGUCAGUCCAGAUUUCAGCAUGUUCUUCGCUUUGUUAUUCAUCAUUUUAUGUAUUUGGACCCAUCCUCAAACAGACUUUAAACCGUUUAAAGGCAAGGAGGGACUCUUUCGUAAACCUUUAAUCCCCUGGCCCAGCUGAGUAGAUGCACAGUGUCUUUUGAUGAUGGUGAUAUGGAAUGAUUAAUAACCACACAAGGCAUUCGGUUGGUCAAGUCACUGUUUAUUGGCUCAAAAUAAUCCUUGGUUUCUGUAUGUCUACAGCUCACUUCCUAAACAGUUAAAUCCGGAGAAGUCUAAUAGAUAAUAGUUGGUGAUCAUAAAUAUAAAUAACCAAUACAUUAGAAUGUGUAGUCAAAAUAGGAAUACUUGCUUUUCACUUACUUCCCACGGGUCGCUGCUGGUGGUAGUCAACACAAAUAAAAAUUUGAACUCAUUUUGUUAUUCAUCUAAAAUGAGAAACUCGGUGAAACAUUGAUUUUCUAAAAUUGCUGCAUAUUUAAAUGUGAUUAUAAUUGCUUUUUAGCAUUUUAAAAUUGUAACAUCGAUACCAAAUGCUUAAGAAUCUAAAGAAUAGUCUAUUGGGGCUGGCCUAUUUUGUGUAAAAUGGUCUGUAUCAUAAUGGAUGACUGAUUAUCCCAUCCACAUUAUUUGGAUUCACUUAAUACUAGGUUUUAACGUUAGGAGAAUAAAACCCUCAAGAAACCUA
rnacentral:lncRNA from 1 species